rnacentral:misc_RNA from 1 species
GAGCUGAAUCCGACGCCGGGUUUGCUGAACAUGUCGGCGUCGGAUUCAGCUCUGCCGGAGGAGCUAUGGAGGCGAAUCCUUGAAAUCGGAAUUGAAUCCUCCAACUUCAACUACAAAGAUCUUUGUUGUCUCUCCAUAACUUGCACCCUCCUCAAUCGACUCUCCUCCGAUGAUUCUCUCUGGUCCUCGUUGUUCUUCGCCGAUUUUCCCCAAUAUCAAC